rnacentral:rRNA from 1 species
UAGGGAAUCUUCCGCAAUGGGCGAAAGCUUGACGGAGCAACGCCGCGUGAGUGAUGAAGGUCUUCGGAUCGUAAAACUCUGUUAUUAGGGAAGAACAAAUGUGUAAGUAACUAUGCACGUCUUGACGGUACCUAAUCAGAAAGCCACGGCUAACUACGUGCCAGCAGCCGCGGUAAUACGUAGGUGGCAAGCGUUAUCCGGAAUUAUUGGGCGUAAAGCGCGCGGAGGCGGUUUUUUAAGUCUGAUGUGAAAGCCCACGGCUCAACCGUGGAGGGUCAUUGGAAACUGGAAAACUUGAGUGCAGAAGAGGAAAGUGGAAUUCCAUGUGUAGCGGUGAAAUGCGCAGAGAUAUGGAGGAACACCAGUGGCGAAGGCGACUUUCUGGUCUGUAACUGACGCUGAUGUGCGAAAGCGGGGGGAUCAAACAGG